rnacentral:lncRNA from 1 species
UAAGAGGUGCAAACCUCAAAAACAAAAAUGAGCUCAAUUCAUAUAGAAUUAAACUCUUAAAUAACAUAAAAAGUAAAAAGUAAAAACAAAGAGAAAAAUAAACAAAAAGUAAGUAAAAGAAAAAGAAAAAGGAAAAAAAGAAAAAUAAUGUUGUAUGUUAUGCAGGCAGCGUCCCGCCCAACCUCUCCUCACAUGUUCCUCCCUUUUUGAAAUUUCCCAAUAUGGAAAAACAUGUGUUAACACAUGGAAUGCAUCAACAAAAUAAAAAUAAC